AUUUCUCAUACUCAGCAUCUCAAGCUUUUUAAGUUUUCCCAGUAUGGAAGUGUCAAUUCUUAGAAGGCCAAUAUCAUCUAAAUACAAAGCUGUGAGGUUGGUUAGGAGAGCGAAUGAUUUGGGCAGUAAUGAAAGGCUAGUCAAGCUAAGAUCUAAUACCCUUAAUUCAUUUGGACAUUGGAAGAAAGUUUCUGGUAUAUCUUUUAAAAAGAAAUUACGGUUUAGUAACAAAAUCUGGAGUUUUGGACAUACCAGAUUUUUGGGAAGCUUGCUAAUAUAAUUCCACAUUAGUGAGAUUGCAAGGUAGCCUGUAUGUAAAUUACGUGGCCAAUCCUCUAAACCACAGCCGGUUUUCACAAAAAACUCAUCUUCAGAUUGCACAAUUUGAAUGGCUGCAUCCCGGACAACAUCAUGCAUCAUUACGCAUCCAUCUUUUUCACUAUCCAAAAGCAAGCAAGAAUAUUUCAGAUGCUUGACAACGGAAUCAGCUUCCUCUCUUGCCUCCAUGAGUGUUUCGGCAUCUCGAAACAAUCUUGUUCUGAUCCCAUACCUGAACAAGUCUUUUAUAGGGAUGUCAUAGUCUUCUGCGAAUAAGCAACAGAGCAAGAAGUAUGACUUGUAGUCCUCAUCUUCCAAGUAAUCAUAGCUUAAUUUUAUACAUUUAAAUGCUUCUCCCUUAUCAUCAGGGUUGGCAGUCUGCGACUUCUCUAGUCGCUGAGCUGCUCUCCUCCAAUCCACCAACUCUUUAUCUCCGAGCGCCCUUGCAACUGUGACCAAUGCAAUCGGUAGACCUCUACAUUCUCCAGCAACCUUCUUUGCCACAUCCUCGAAAGUGGACGACUCGAAAGACUUUCUUGCUUUGCUCACAAACAAGGCCCAAGAAUCUUGUUCUGAGAGAAUGUUGAGUGUGAUCUUUCUUUGGCACUCCAUGGCAUGACAAACAUUCCUUAUCCUUGUGGUCAGUAGGACUUUGGAAUUACACUUUUGAAGUUCCUUGUGGCUUGGAAUUCCUACUCUUGAUAACUUCAUUCCCUCCCAAAUAUCGUCCAGGAUUAUAAGAAUCUUUGUUCGUCUCAUUAUCUCCUUAUGCAACCUAGCGGAUCUUCCAAUUUCUGUUUCCUCAUGUAAUUUGAAGCCCAACUGCUCUGCCAAUGCGUCUUGAAGGAUUCCAAAACUAGGAUUUUGGGAUACGACACACUUAGUCACAUAAUCAAAACUCCCACUUUUCCGGGCUUGUGCACUGACAUGUUCCACCAAGGUUGUCUUGCCAACUCCUCCCAUGCCGUAGACACCAAUGGCAGUGACGUUGUACUCUUUAAGGGCUUCCUGAACCUCAUCCAUGGCCUGUCUUGUUGCUUUAAACACUUUGAAAUCUCCUGUGGACUCAAUUGCAUCAGGUACAACUUUCGUGCUGACAAAUUCCACAAUGACGUUAACAAGUUCUUUGUGAGUCCUACAAUCAAAUAAGUAAUCAACGGUCAAAAAUAAGUGUUAUGUAAACAUACAGAACCAAAUGAAAUUACAGGCGCAAUUACAACUGAAACUAAAGCCACCAUGCUUACUUGUAAUCAUUUGUAUUCCACCCGGAGAAAUUGGCCACUUUGUUUAAAGCAUCUCUCCAUUGCUUCACCUUCUCUGUUCCAUGUCUCCCAGAGGUUUCAUGAUUAGAGAAAGCUUCUUCAAAACUCCUCUUCUGAUAUCGAACAUCAGUAGGAUCAACAUGGUAAAAAAGUGGCAAAAUUCUGCUCUGGUCUUUCAUGCACUCACAAAUCUCUCUAAGUUCCUCCAAACACCAAGUAGAAGAAGCAUAGUUCUGCGAGAGAACAACAAUUGCAAACCUUGACCCUUCAAUUGCUUCUAUGAGCGUGCGAGAAAUAGCAUCCCCGACUUUAAGAUCUGGAUCAUCCAUGAAUGCUUUAAUGCCUCUCCGAUUGAGUCCAUCGUAUAUGUCGAUUGUGAUACCCUUGCGAGUGUCAAUGCCCCUGAAACUCAAAAACACAUCAUACUUCCAACAUGGAUCCGAUGAAGUAGGAGAUCCAGAGGUUACUUGGGAGCUGGAGGCCAUUGGAAAACCACCAAACCAAAACAAGAGGCAAUCAAGAACAUGAAACAAGAAACUGCAAGAACAAGGUCUCAAGUACUGGCAGCUAAGAAGAAACUUUAAUAACCAAAAUGAGAAAACCCAGUUUGGAGUCUGAACUCUGAACUCUGAACUGAACAAGCGUAAAAGUCAGUCUGGUGGUUAUUUCACAACCAGUGCUUGGCAAUUGGCAUGGGCCCAUUUACUUCUCAAGUCCGACCUGGAUGGCGCAAUUCAACCCGACCCGGAUCCCUUUUUAUGCCUAAUUAGAAACACAAACAGAGAAGCCAUCAACUUGGGCCUCGUAAAGCCUUCACAUUUCUCUGUUCCCAAGUCACAAACCCCUUCAAAGCUCAGGGUUUUCACUCUCCGGUUCUCCUCCGCCACCGCUAAUGCCGUCUCAGGUAUACCCACUUUUGCAACUCUGCUUUUAUUGGUCUCUCUAGCACUUGUAAAGAUUCAAUUUUUAUGUGAUAAUGGUUUCCAGUUUACUGUGAGGUUGAUUUAUUGGUGAUUAGAGUUACGAGAAAACCGAUUGGCUGCCAUGCAAAAGUUGAUGUUGGUUUUGUUUUUUUUGGGCUCAGUUUUGUUAUGUUAGAUGAGUAAGAACCAAUUAUGUUGCACAUUAGUGUCUCAACCCUUUUGGGUUUUGGCAAUUUUUGCUUUAGUUUCAUUUAGAGUUUUGAAAUUUCUUAGUUACUGGUAAAUUGGAGUAGCUUAGCUGUUUUUUUCUUUUGUUUUGUUCCUGGGUUUGGUUCUCAGUGAUUGCCUGACUAUGCGUUUGGAGGGAGUAUGUGGAGGUCAUAAAGAUGCGUAGAGUGAAGAGAAAAGCGAUUGGCUGUCAUCUAUUAACGUUUCUAUUUUUCAUUUUGUGGCAGAAUCACAACUAUGCGGUUGACCCCAAAUCACUUCCAGAUGGUGUAGAGGUAAUUCAUGUGAAUCUCAAGGAUGGAACCUGUGCUGGCCUUGCUUAUCCUGCACGAAACAUAAUGUCUGUUCAGUACCACCCUGAAGCAUCCCCACGACCUCAUGAUUCAGAUUAUGGUAUGUUAAAGUAAGCUUAUAUUUUACCAAUACACACUAGUGAUGUGUGUGCUUGCACCAAACAGCAUAAGAACAUUCUUAGUGAUGAAAUCUUCAUAGUAUAUCUAGGAAUUCUAUUAAAAUCUGAAUAGUGAAGGUGUAGCUCAUACUCUCAUAGUAUGAGUAUCAUUUCCGCAGUUGCUUCGUGCCAACUGUUCACUCAGCUCACAAACCCAAUACCUGCUUUUUAGAAUGACACAUCCUGCACAAAUCUACCUUGCGAAAUGAUUUUGAGUUCUGGAACUUUUUUAUUGCAGCUUUUGGAGAAUUCAUUGAGCUUAUGAAUAGAGUGAAAGUAAAUGCUUGAGUGAUAUCUGCACUGAGCAAUUAAUUGAGGGAUCAACCCUAUAGCAGUGAGGUUUCAAAUGACAAUACAGACAUCCAGGCUCUGCUCAUGGCCAACUCUAUAGGAUUAACAUUUGCGGUUGCAGAAAACUAGUUAGGACGUAUGAGUGUUGUUUCCCUUUAUCUGCCGUCAGUGUGGUGGUAGUAUUGUGUGAUAGUUGAGUAAUCCUUUGCCAUAUCUACAAUUGGCGUUUUUGAAGACUAAGUUGCUUAGCCACUGUGUGUAGCUUGUAACAACUAUCUCAUGAAAUCAUGUCAAAAGAUUGUGAUAGUGCUAAAUGCUUGGAAUUGAUGUUAUUUCAUUACAAAUGCAUGCCAGGAAUUUCUUGAGAGGAUUCGGGGUAAUGACUCUGGUUCUGGUUCCCCGAUGUAUCUUGCUCAACCCUCAUUGUUUGAUAAGGUAUGUUACAAUUGUGAUACGCAUGUAUGUUCGGGUAUCCAUUGGUAUCUUUCAAUUCUUUGAUAUAACUUUGAUUUUCAGAUAAACGAGUUGCGUGAGGACAUGUGAAUUCCUGACUAUUGUUGUGCCAGUGCUGGGGAACUAAGGUCUUUUAAUGCUCGGUUUGGUCCGGUGGGGACUGUAGCCCCGUUACACCAUGAUCUGCACCAUAAUGUAUUUGCACAGGUACUUCAGAGUUGCUUUUUUGUAUUGAACAAUAUUACCAUGAUCUUGCCUUUGAAAGUGUAAAUUCUUUAUGAACCUUCCGGUAUUUGCUUUUAGGUCAUGCUAUUAUACUGUUAGUUAUCAUCUUUGAAUUUAGCUUAGAUAUUCCGUUUCUAUUGGAAAAUUGUAAGACUGAUCAAUCAGCGCUAGCCAUAGAAGUGGCAUUUGUCUGUUCAAUUACUUACUUCUUUGAAUUAUAGUUUAACUGUCAUGUCUCCAUAUUCAAGCUGUUAUGUCCAUAACCAGCCUACCUUUUACAUCUAGAAUAGCUAUCCAAUAGACUAGAUUUACCAUCAGGUAUGUUUCCAUUUUGAUUAUAAUCUAGAGCCCUUGCCAUACUUUUACAAGGGGAGGCAAAUCUUCAUGACAGGAGAAUCCCUCAGAAAGGGAAUAUGGUUUUAUAAAAACAAGGUUACAGUGCCGUCUGUAAACAGUAAAUAUCCAUGUCCACUAACAUGAGUAAAGAAUCUGAUAAUUUCUUUAGUACGAACAUAGAUGUGCACAUCUCCAUUUGUUGCAAAGACUGAUUUGUAGCUGCCAUAAAAAUGUGCAUUGUAUAUCAUGAAUCAUAAUUCCAGAUACAAAGGCAUAUAUUGUAUGCAUGUACUUCCAGAUGUCAUGUGUGUUUGUAUAUAGCUGCAUAUUUUGGCUAGUUACUAGCUUCUAUGAUCAAUUAUCUAUGUGUGUUUGUAUGAGGCUCUAUGUGCUUCAUUGUCAUAGGAACUCUAUCUAGUAUCCACAUACUGAAACCAUGCUUUGCAACUCACGUCAGGUAAUUGCAUUCUUGACCUCAUUCAAGCAAGGAAAAGAUGUAAACAAAUAUGCUAAUAUGUUAUUGAGACAGCAGAUGCUAACAGUAGACCUAUAUUUGCAUAUGUUUGCAUGUGCCAAGACUAUACGUGCUUUUUAGAAAGAACUGAGUCAUUCUGGGAAAGAACGUAUUGGAUUAGUCAGUAAAUCGUGAAACGUUGUGAUUAAUGUCAAAUCAAGAUGAAGAUGCACACUGGGGAUUGAAACGUUCAAUCCAAAACUGAUUACUUUUAAGUCGAGACAGCCAUAUUGAUUGAGCAUGCAUUUACUGAUUGAAUAUACUUUGUUUUUGAAGGUUGAUCUAGACAACAUGGAUGACAAAGAAUUCCCGGAGGUGCACUUGGAAUAUCUUGACUGCAUAUUCGAGGAAGGUGACAUGCUGUAUAUCCCACCAAAACAUUAUGUUUGGUCUAUGACAACAAGCAUGUCAGUUAGCUUUUGGUGGAGUGAUAAUGACAGUUCAGCUGUCUUGAUAGCUUGUGGUUUGACAGAGCAGUUUUCAGUUGCAGGCUUAUAUAUUCUCAUGUAUAUAUCCUGCUGUGUUAUAUUCACAAUUAGACUUGCAGAGGUCUGAAGCAUAAGAAACUGUUUUUAAUCAACAAUUUUGAAAUUAGUAUUUAACAUCUUUCUCGCUUCACAGCCUGUAGCCAUACAGUUGCAAAGCUACUUUUCCUUUGUUUCGUAAUUGAGUUAGUUUCGAUCAAUAUGGUUCAGUUUUUGGUUAAUCUGGAUCAUGAAAAUAUCACUUAAGGUUUUCCAUCUUUAUCAUGAUCAUCAUGUAAAGAAAUUAAUUUUCCUUUUCUUUCAAAUUUCAAUGAUGAAUCUGAAAAAUUUCUUUUGCCUCACAAGCUUAAAUUUUCAGUAGCUUCCCUUUCUCCUUCUCAUUCAUUACCAACUCGUUUUCUUCCCUUUGCUUCCUCCACACAAAAUGCAACUGGCUCCCUCCAUAUACUAGGCAUUCUGAGGCCACAGGCCUCCCUAGUAAAGGCACCAGAUGGAUAAAGGACAUUAUGCUUUGCAACCUUUGCACCACAUGGUGCUCAAAGUUCCACUAGUAAACCACUGUUUUGAGCUUUGACCGUUUGCAAAAAUCUCGUUUUGACUUUCAAAGUGAUCGAAUAGGUACCAAUAAUUAAAGAAAAAUAUACCAAUAUUUUCAAAGUGAUCAUAUAUGUACAUGAACUCGAAGAAUUGUACUGAUUAGGUACAUCUGUAAGAAAUUAUGUCAAAUUUCAAUUACCUGAAUGGUAACAUUAAAAGAGGGAAUCGCAGCUUGAUAGAGAAGAAAGAUACAGAAUUCAAAAUAACAAUUUUGGCAUGCCCAUAUAAUGAACAUUCAGAAUUUCAAUAACAUGCAAUUUCCCAUAUCAACAAAUCAAUACAAAUGCACGAUUGAUAGAGAAGUAAGAUACAGAUCGAUAAACCAAAAUGUUUAUUUCAAAUAUUUAGUCGUGACUACAGCUUCACAAUUAAAUGAAGAAUCUUCUCCGUGGCCAUUGAAGGUCGACUCUUUGUGUUUCUUGAAUGUGAUCAGCUUCUUCACAGUCUAUACGAUCUAAUGGUCCAUACGAGAUAAAAAGUAAGUAUAUAAGUGGGUAAUUUAGUGCAUCUCAAAAGUCUCAAAACCUUGUUAACAAUUCAUUUUACAAUGUACUUGGAAAAUGGAAACAAUAAUCAAGAAACAACAAUGGAAAAUGAAAUCAAACAUUGAGGAAAUAACUGAAGAUAAAACAUAUAUGAUUAAAUAUGCAAUGGGGGUGCAAAUUCACAAGCACCCUGUUCUUUAAGUUUUUUCAUAGCCUACCUAACAUUUUGAUAUUGUAAUUUGUUCAGUAGAGUAAUUAAACACAAACGAUCAUCAGUGACAAGAAAUUUCUAUGAAAAAAUUGAUAUUCAUUUGAUGAGAUUGAAAAGAAAAUACGAUGAAUGAUUAAUUACCAAUGAUAUCAAAGAAAAAUAUCGACUUAAGAUUGAAAGGAACAAAGUUACAAUUUGAUUGGUGAAUUUAACAAAUGGUAUUUGUUUACUGUUUAAGGGAGCAAUUAAACUGCAAUUAUAUGACAAAUCAAGUAUUUAUAUCUGAUGUACUUAUCCCACUUGCUUAAUGAAAUAUUCUUCUUCUUCUAAAAAAAAAAAAAAACUGUGUGACAAAUCAAGUAAAGAUAUUGACACAGCAACAUACCUAUUGAGUUUGACUUGGACUUGUUUCCAGCUGUGGAAGUCAGAGGAAGAGACUGAAAACUUGGGGCAGUCACACAAUUCCAAGUAUUCCAAUGAAGGACACUGAAUAUCAAAAGUAGCACUUUCAUAGUCCAACAUUGGAAGUUCUAUCAAACUUAAUUUCUCCAAUUUUGGAAGGAUGAUCUUCUCGUUGUUUGCUUCAACAAUCUUUUCCAAAUAGAGGCAUCCCUCUAAUACCAAGCAAUUCAGCUGAGAAAGACAUUGAGCAACAUCAUAUGUGAAGAGACUUCCCAGCAACAUGCAGUUUGUAAUGGAGAAACUUUGAAGAUUCUGGAACAUUGCAGGUGGAGCAGGUCCAUCACAUAGGCUUACUAUAUCCGUAUCAGACAAUUCUAUCUUUCUCAGUUUUAAUUGUUUUGACACAAUAUGUGACGCUUCUUCAAACCCAAACACAUAUUCACUCUGGUACAUUGUUUUACAAUAUAGUUCUUCCAAAUUUAGCAGUCUCUGUAACAAUGUAGAUGGUAAAAGUAUAUUCCCCCAGUUGUAACAAGUUUCUACCUUCAAUAACUUCAAAUUGAAAAAAGACCCAGGUGGUAGAACUUCAAGAGCACAUAACUCCGCACAAUCCAGCUCAAGCAGAUGCAAUGCUUCCAAAUUCUCGAACACAGGUUUCUCUGGAACCCAUGUUAUUGUGUUCGUCGGCUCCAUGAUACUCUCGGGACCCACUAUUUCAAGCUGCUUCAGCUCCUCUAAUCUCCCAUGCUCAGAUUCCACAAAUAUGUCAAUUAACCUUCGGCCCUCUUCCCAUACUAGAUGCUCUGUUUUCUUCAUUAUCUCGUUGCGAAACCAAUCCGGUAAGCGACUGAUGAUGUCAAGCUUCAAGCAUAUUGAGUUAAUAUGACCGUAUCGAUCAUACUCAUCAUGGGAUGGAAUCUUGAUUGGGUCGUAUUUACCUAUACGUAUAUGAAACUCAACCCAAUCCGGUAUGGACUCAACAUACUUGGGGAUACAUUCUACAUCUAACAUACUAACCUUCAAAACUCUUAAUUUUGUCAAGCUAGUUACCUCGUCAAAGCCUGCAUUGGUUUCUUCUCCUUCUCCCUUAACUUUAACCCCCCACAACCAAAAUCCUGGCAAGUACAGUUCUUCUAAAUUAUGCAACUUUGAUAUCAACUUGGAUGGAAUUCUAGCCAUAAGUCCACCGUUGUGAUCCAACAUCCUUAGAUUGGUCAAACCUCCUAUUUCUAUCGACCACUCCUUCACAAUUGACUUUCUUAUACUCAGAAUCUCAAGCUUUUCAAGGUUUCCUAGGCUGGAAUAGUCAGUUAUUAGAUUGAGACCAUGACAGUUGUCUAAAUACAAAGCUUGGAGGUUGGUUAGGAGACUGAAGGAUUGGGGUAGUGAUGAAAUACUUGUCCAGCUAAGAUCUAACACCCUUAAUUCAUAUGGACUUUGAAAAAAGGUUUCUGGGAUCUCAUUUAAACUGGAAUUACCGUUCAGUAACAAAAUCUCGAGUUUUGGACAUACCAGAUUCUCGGGUAGCUUGCUCAUAGGACUCCUCAUUAGUGAGAUUGCAGUGUAGCCUUCAUGUACUUGACGUGGCCAAUCCUUUAAACGAGAGCCAGCUUUCACCAAAAACCCAUGCCCAUCUUCAGAUUCCGCAAUUUGAAGGGCAGUAUCCCGGACGACAUCAUGAAUCCUUACAAAUGUAUCAUCACUACUCUCCAACAGCAAGCAAGAAUGUAUAAGGUGGUUGGCCACUGAACUAGCGUUUUCUCUGGCUUCUUCGAGUGUCUCAGCAUCUCUAAACAAUCCUUUCCCAAUCGCAUACAUGAACAGUUUUUCUGUUGGGAUAAAAGAGUCUUCUGGGAAUAAGCAACAGAGCAAGAAGUAUGACUUUUCCUUAUCUUUCAAGUAAUCAUAGCUUAAUUUUAUACAUUGGGAUGCUUCUCGGUUAUCGUCAGGAUUAGCAGUUUGUGACUUCUCUAGUCGUUUAGCUGCUCUCUCCCAUUCCACCAACUCUUUAUCUCCGAGUGCCCUUGCAACUGUUAUCAAUGCAAUCGGUAGACCCCCACAUUCUCCAGCUACCUUCUUUGCCACAUCCACGAACUUUCGUUGUUCAAAAGACUUUCUUGCUUUUCUCACAAACAACGCCCAAGAAUCUUCUUUUGAUAGAAUGUUGAGGGUGAUCUUUUUUUCGCAAUCCAUAACAUGACAGACAUUCCUUCUCCUUGUUGUUAGUAGGACUUUGGAAUUGACAGUUUGAAGCUCUUUAUAGUUGGGGAUCCCUAUCUUGGACAACUCUAUUAUAUCCCAUACAUCGUCCAAGAUUAUAAGGAGUUUUUCUCUUCUCAUGAUCUCCUUAUGCAACCUAGCAGCUCUUCCAGCUUCUGUUUUCUCUUUUAAUUUGAAGCCUAGCAGAUCUGCUAAUGUGUCUUGGAUUUGUGUGAAGUCGGGGCUUUGGGAUAUGGAAGCUACAAUCCAAUGGUUAAAAGUGCCAUUUCUGCAGGCUUGUGCAGCUACAUGUGUCACCAUGGUUGUCUUUCCAACGCCGCCCAUGCCGUAGACACCAACGGCAGUGAUCUCAUCAUCUCUUAGCGCCUCCUUAACCUCAUCCAUGGCUUUUGUUGUUGCUUCAUAUGAUUGGAAAUCAUCUGUGGAUUCAAUUGCAUCCGGUGGUACUUUCUUGCGGAGAGUUUCCACAAUGUGGUCAACAAGUUGUUUGUGAGUCCUACAUCGAAGAAUUAACUAUUAAACUUAAGUGUUGGGUAAAAUAGAGUGGAAAUUAAAGGCAGAAUGCUUACUUGAAAGCAUCUGUAUCCCACCCAGAUAUAUUGGCCACUCCUUGUAAAGCAGCUCUCCAUUCCUCCACCGUCUCUGGUUUAUGUCGGCCAGAGGUUUCAUGCUUAGAGUUAUACAAUUUCACAAUCAAAUGCGGGAUAUUCUUCUGGGCCACGGAAGGUCUCUUUGUGUUUUAUUGAUUGCAAUUAGUCCUCUUACCACCUAUUAAAAUCAAUUUAAGACAUAUAUAUAUAAGUAUAUAAGACGGAAAUUCAAUGCAUCUCAAAGUCUCAAAUUCUUGUUAACAAGUCUAUUUGGAAAAGGAAACAAUUAGCUGGGAAGCAAAGGUAAACUAUAAUGCAACAGCAGAGGAAAUAACUGAAAAUACAAUAUAAAUUGCUUAAUAUACAGUGUAGUGCAAAUCAGAAGAACCCUGUGCUCAAAUUUUCUUCAAACCGUAUCUAACUUUUUUUCAUUUAAUUUGUAGUUUGUUAAGAAGAGAUAUUAAACACAUUGUGCUUAAAACAUUAACAUUUUGUAUUUGUUUACUGUUUAUUGGUGAGCAAUCAGACUACCACAUUCAUUCAUACGACAAAUCAAGUAAAGUUUUUGACAUACCAGCUGAAUUGGACUUGUUUCCUGCUGUGGAAGUCAGAUGAAGAGGCUGAAAACUUGGGGCAGCUACUCACAAAGAACUCUUCCAAUUCAGGACACACGAUAUCAAAAGUAGCACUUUCAUAGUACAACAAUGGAAGUUCCACCAAAAGUAAUCGCUUCAAUUCUGGAAGGACGGUCUUCUUGUUGCUUGCUUCAACUAUCCUUUCCAACAAGGGGCAUCUCUCUAAUUCUAAGGAAUUCAACUGAGAAAGACACUGAGCAACAUCAGAGGUGAAGAGACUUCCCCGCAACUGCUUGCAACGAUGAAUGGACAAACUUCGAAGAUUCUGGAGCAUCGCAGGAGGAGCAGGUCCCUCACAUAUGCUUACUGUUGCUAGAUCAUACAAUUUUAUCUUUUUCAACUUUAAUUGUCGCAACACAAGCAAGGCUUCAUACCCAAACAUAAAUUCACUCCCGUCCGUCCGAUGAACAAUUAAUUUUUCCAAAUUUGGUAGUCUAUGUAACAAUGUUGAUGGUAAAAUCAUAUUCCACCAGUUGUAACAAUCUUUUACUUUCAAUACCUUUAACUUGAAUAGAGAUCCAGGUGGUAGAAAUUGAACGGCACACAACUCUGCACAAUCCAGUUCAGCCAGAUACAACUCUUCCAAAUUCUCGAACACAGGCUUUUUUGGAACCCAUGUUAUUGCAGGAUCCACCUCCGUGAUGUCUUGAUCGUAGGAACCCACUAUAUGCAGAUGCUUCAGUCUCUGUAACCUCCCAUUCUCAGAUUCCACAAAUAUGUCGAUUAACCUUUGGCACCAAGAGUGGUAAAGCGUCUCCGCAUUCUCUAUUAUCUCGUCACGAAACCACUCCGGUAAGUGACUGAUCAUGACAAACAAGAGUAUUGAGAUAUGACGAUGUCGAUCAUAUAACUUCGUCUUGUAUGGCUCGUAUAAACCAGGCUCAUAUGAACCACCAAUACAUAUAUCAAACUCAACCAAAUUCAUUUUCAACUCAACAUAUUUAGGGAUAUAUUCAUCACCCAUGAUAGUAACCUUCAAAACUCUUAAUUUUGACAAGCUAGUUACCUCGUCAAAGCUAGCAUUAGUAAAGGUAUCAUUGACUUCCCCUCGUCUGUAAGGCCACAAGCGUUCCCACUCCCAAAAUCCUUGCAUAUACAGUUCUUCUAAAUCAUGCAACUUUGAUAUCAGUUUGGAAGGAAUUCUAGAAAUAUGUUCACCAGUAAUAUCCAACAUCCUCAGAUUGGUCAAACCUCCUAUUUCUACCGACAACUCAUACAGACGUGAAUUUCUCAUACUCAGAAUCUCAAGCUUUUUAAGUUUUCCCAGUAUGGAAGUGUCAAUUCUUAGAUGGGUACAAUCAUCUAAAUACAAAGCUGUGAGGUUGGUUAGGACACCGAAUGAUUUGGGCAGUAAUGAAAGGCUAGUCAAGCUAAGAUCUAAUACCCUUAAUUCAUUUGGACAUUGGAAGAAUGUUUCUGGUAUGUUUUCUAAAGAGAAAUUACGGUUUAGUAACAAGAUCUGGAGUUUUGGACAUACCAGAUUUUUGGGAAGCUUGCUAAUAUAAUUCCUCAUUAGUGAGAUUGCAAGGUAGCCUUUAUGUAAUUUACGUGGCAAAUCCUCUAAACCACAGCCGGCUUUCACAAAAAACUCAUCUUCAGAUUGCACAAUUUGAAUGGCUGCAUCCCGGACAACAUCAUGCAUCCUUACACAUCUAUCUUCUUCACUAUCCAAAAGCAAGCAAGAAUAUUUAAGAUGCUUGAUAACGGAAUCAGCUUGCUCUCUUGCCUCCAUGAGUGUUUCGGCAUCUCGAAACAAUCUUGUCCUGAUCCCAUACCUGAACAAGUCUUCUAUAGGGAUGUCAUAGUCUUCUGGGAAUAAGCAACAGAGCAAGAAGUAUGACCUGUAGUCCUCAUCUUCCAAGUAAUCAUAGCUUAAUUUUAUACAUUUAGAUGCUUCUCCCUUAUCAUCAGGGUUGGCAGUUUGCGACUUCUCUAGUCGCUGAGCUGCUCUCCUCCAAUCCACCAAGUCUUUGUCUCCGAGUGCCCUUGCAACUGUUAUCAAUGCAAUCGGUAAGCCCCUACAUUCUCCGGCUACCUUCUUUGCCACACCCUCGAAAGUGGGGGAUUCAAAAUACCUUCUUGCUUUUCUCACAAACAAGACCCAAGAAUCUUGUUCUGAGAGAACGUUGAGGAUGAUCUUUCUUUGGCACUCCAUGGCAUGACAAACAUUCCUUAUCCUUGUGGUGAGUAGGAUUUUGGAAUUGCAAUUUUGAAGUUCCUUGUAGCUUGGAAUUCCUAUUCUUGAUAAUUCUGUUCUCUCCCAAAUGUCGUCCAGGAUUAUAAGAAUCCUUUGUCUUCUCCUUAUCUCCUUACUCAAUCUAGCUGCUCUUCCAAUUUCUGUAUCCUCCUCAAAUUUGAAGCUCAAUAGUUCUGACAAUGUGCCUUGAAUUUUUGCCAAGUCAGGCGUUUGGGAUAGGACACCCAUAAUCACAUGAUCAAAAAUUCCACUUUUCCGGGCAUGUGCGCCAACAUGUUCCACCAAGGUUGUCUUGCCCACACCUCCCAUGCCGUAGACACCAACAGCAGUGACCUCGUCAUCUUUAAGGGCCUUCAUAACCUCAUCCAUGGCUAUUCUUGUUGCUUCAAAUGCUUGGAAAUCUCUAGUGGACUCAAUUGCAUCAGGUACAAUUUUACUGCUGAGAAGUUUCACAAUGGCUUCGGUAAGUGCUCUCUCAGUUCUACAAGGAUGAAUUACGGAUUAGAAUUUAGAAAUAAUCUUUGGGUAAAAUAUAUAUCUGAAAUUAAAGGGGCAAUGCUUACUUAUGAUCAGUUGUAUUCCACCCAGAGAUAUUGGCUACUUUGUUCAAGGCAGCUUUCCACUCCUUCACCUUUUCCAUUCUGUGCUGCCCAGAGGUUUCAUGCUUAUAGAAAGCUUCUUUGAAACUUCCCUUCUUCUGAUAUCGAACAUCAGUAGGAUCAACAUGAUAAAAAAGUGGCAAAAUUCUGUUGUCUUCCAUGGACAGACAAAUCUCUCUAAGUUCCUCCAAACACCAAGCAGAAGAAGCGUAAUUUUGGGAGAGAACAACAAUUGCAUACCUUGACCCUUUAAUUGCUGCUAUGAGAGUGGGAGAAAUGGAAUCUCCGACUACAAGAUCUGGAUCAUCCAUGAAUGCUUUAAUGCCUCCCCGAUUGAGUCCAUCGUAUAUGUCGACUGUGAUCCCCUUGCGAGUGUCAGAACCCCUGAAACUCAAAAAAACAUCAUACUUCCAUUCAACAGGUGAUGAUGAAGAAGGAAGAGAUGCAGAAGCAUCCAUGUCCACCAAUACUUGAUUAUCCUGGGAAUUUUCGACCAUGUAACUGAACCGACGCUUCACUUGAGUCCAUAUCCACUUAAUAAUGGCUAUGCAACCGAUCCUCGCCUCCGCCAUGGCUUCGAAUUCUGGAAAACAGUAUGAAAUUAAGAACCUUCCUUGAGACAGCAACAAGGGGAAAGAACAAGGUCUCUCAGAGUACAGGCAGGGAAAAGGAAACCGCAAAAGCCAUAUGAAAAACCAAUGAAACGGAUGAACUGAAGACAAAAUGGAAUCUGAAGUAUGAACUGAACAUCAUGAAGUCAGUCUGAUAGAGUUUAGACGUCUAACUAGUGAGCUGUGGUGGUUAUUUGACAACCAGAGUGCUUGGCAAUUGGCAUGGGCCCUUUUACUUCUCAAGUCCGACCCGGAUGGCGCAAUUCUUAACCCGACCCGGACCCAAGAAACAGGGCAAAACAGAGAAGCGCCACUACCGCAGCUGAGACAGAAACAGAGAAUGGCCACCACAGCUAUCAACUUGGGCCUCGUAAAGCCUUCACCUUUCUCUGUUCCCAAGUCACAAUCCCCUUCAAAGCUCAGGGUUUUCACUCUCCGGUGCUCCUCCGCCACCGCCAAUGCCGUCUCAGGUAUACCCACUUUUGGUACUCUGCUUUUAUUGGUCUAUCUAGCACUCGUAAAGAUUCAAUUUUUAUAUGAUGGUGGUUUCCAAUUUACUGUGAGGUUAAUUUAUUGGUGAUUAGAGUGACGAGAAAACCGAUUGGCUGCCAUGCAAAAUUGAUGUUGGUUUUGUUUUUUUUGGGCUCAGUGCCUUCUUAUUUAUUCAGCUGCAGUCUUAUAUUCUCAUGUAUAUAUCCUGCAGUGUUAUAUUUACAAUAAGACUUACAGAUGUCUGAAGAAGAAGAAACUGUUUGUAACAAUUUUGAGAAUAGUACUUUAACAUCUUUCUCGCGUCACAGUCUGUAGCCAUACACUUGCAAAGUUACUUAUCCAUUGUAUCGUAAUUGAGUUUGUUUCAAUCAAUAUGGUUCAUACAUUUUUGUGUUAUGGAGUUCAGUUUUUGAUUAAUCUACAUCACAAAAAGAUCACAUAAGAUUUGGCAUCUUUAUUUUGAUCAUCUUCAUGUAAAUGGAAUUGUUUUUCUUUCAAGGAUGAAUUUGAAAAGCAGUCUUUCAUAGUUUCCAUAGAAAGACUCAUUGUAUUCAUCUUCAUCCUUCAUAGCAUCCUCGAUAGUUUCUUUUGACUUACAAGCUUGGUUUUUAGUCACAUCCCUUUUCAUUACCAACUUCUGUGCUUAUCUGUUUUAACCAGAUAGUAGGAAUGGUAUAUGUUUUUGGGUUUUGGCCAUAUAUGCCUUCACCUCAUGCCUAACCUCACUGCUCUUCUCCCCUUGCACACAAACUUCAACCUGCUCCUCCAUGUACUUGGGCAUUCUGAGACCUUACAAUCUUCGGGAGAACUUACAAUCUCAAACAACUAUGCGAAUAAGUAAAUGCAUAUUAUGAACGCUCAUAUCAAAAUCGAGAAAUUUACACUAGGAAUAUCAAUUACAUCUGUUUUUUCUUGUUAUCAAAUCAACAAUGGAUAAAGAUGCACGUCUGAAAGAUGCAGAGCCACGAAGAAGAUACAAAGAGACAAUGAAAAGUUAUAAAUUUAUUAUCCACAAGAGUGUUAUACAACUUCACAAUCAAAUGCGGGAUAUUCUUCUGGGCCACGGAAGGUCUCUAUGCGUUUUAUUGAUUGCAAUUAGUCCCCUUAGACUAAUCCGCGCCGAGAGAUCUUGUCAGAACGCUUCCUCGCCUCUGGCCACCAAGAAUAAAUUGGGAUUUAACUCUAAUUAGCUUCAGCUGGAAUUUGAAUGUUUCCACACCUAGGCUCUUAUCAACUCGGCCUCCUGUGGUGAUUAAUCAAUUCAAGAUAUAUAUAUAAGUAUAUAAGACGGAAAUGCAAUGCAUAUCCAAAGUCUCAAAUUCUUGUUAACAAGACAUCCUUCAAUCUAUUUGGAAAAGGAAACAAAUUAGCUGGGAGCAGAAAUCUAUAAGUAAAGGUAAACUAUAAUGCAACAGCAAAGGAAAUAACUUAAAAUACAAUAUAAAUUGCUUAAUAUACAGUGUGGUGCAAAUCAGAAGAACCCUGUGCUCAAAUUUUCUUCAAACUGUAUCUAACUUUUUUUUCAUUUAAUUUGUAGUUUGUUAAGGAGAGAUAUUAAACGCAUUUUGUGCUCAAAACAUUUAACAUUUUGUAUUUGUUUACUGUUUAUUGGGUGAGCAAUCGGACUACCACAUUAAUUCAUACGAAAAAUCACGUAAAGUAUUUGACACACUAACAUACCAUAUGAAUUGGACUUGUUUCCUGCUGUGGAAGUCAGAUGAAGAGGCUGAAAACUUGGGGCAGCUACUCACAAAGAACUCUUCCAAUUCAGGACACACAAUAUCAAAAGUAUCACUUUCAUAGUACAACAUUGGAAGUACCUCCAAAUGUAAUCGCUUCAAUUUUGGAAGGACGGUCUUCUUGUUGCUUGCUUCAACUAUCCUUUCCAACAGAGGGCAAUUCUUGAAUUUUAAGGAAUUCAGUUGGGAAAGACACUGAGCAACAUCAUAGGUGAAGAGACUUCCAUCUGACUUGCACCACUCUAUGGACAAACUUUGAAGAUUCUGGAACAUUGCAGGUGGGAGUCGAGAAGGUCCAUCACAUAUGCUAACUGUGGACAAUGCUAUCUUUCUCAGUCUCCAUUGUUCCCAUGGAAACCAACAACCCUUCAGAGACAUGUUCUCCAAUGAAGGACACUCAAUAUCAAAAGUAGCACUUUUGUAUAACAUUGGAAGUUCCGUCAAACUUAAUUGCUCCAACUUUGGAAGGAUUAUCUUCUUGUUGCUUGCUUCAACUAUCCUUUCCAACAAGGGGCAUACUGCUAAUUCUAAGGAAUUCAACUGAAAAAGACACUGAGCAACAUCAGAGGUGAAGAGACUUCCCUCCAACUUGCAUUUGGUAAUGGACAAACUUUGAAGAUUCUGGAGCAUCGCAGGCGGAGCAGGUCCCUCACAUAUGCUUACUGUUGCUAGAGCAAACAAUUCUAUCUUUUUCAACUUUAAUUGUUGCAACACAAGCAAGGCUUCAUACCCAAACAUAUAUUCACUCCCGUCCGUCUGACAAACAAUUAAUACUUCCAAAUUUGGUAGUCUAUGUAACAAUGUUGACGGUAAAAGUAUAUUCCACCAGUUGUAACAAUAUUCUACCUUCAAUACCUUCAACUUGAAUAGAGACCCACAUGGUAGAAAUUGAACGGCACGUAACUCUGCACAAUCCAGUCCCUCCAUAUACAACUCUUCCAAAUUCUCGAACACAGGCUUUCUUGGAACCCAUGUUAUUGCAGGAUCCACCUCCGUGAUGUCUCGACUGCUGUAACCCACUAUAUGCAGAUGCUUCAGUCUCUGUAGCCUCCCAUGCUCAGAUUCCACAAAUAUGUCGAUUAACCUGUGGCACCAAGAGUCGGAAAAUGUCUCUGCUUUCUUCAUUAUCUCGUCACGAAACCACUCCGGUAAGUGACUGAUCAUGACAUCCAAGAGUAUUGAGAUAUGACGAUGUCGAUCAUAUAACUUCGUCUUGUAUGGCUCGUAUAAACCACCGAUACAUAUAUCAAACUCAACCAAAUUCAUUUUCUGCUCAACAUAUUUAGGGAUAUGUUCAACACCCCUGAUAGUAACCUUCAAAACUCUUAAUUUUGACAAGCUAGUUACCUCGUCAAAGCUAGCAUUAGUAAAGGUAUCAUUGACUUCUCCUUCUUCUCCCUCAGCGUUAAGCUCCAAGCACUCCCACUCCCAAAAUCCUUGCAUAGUUACCUCGUCAAAGCUAGCAUUAGUAAAGGUAUCAUUAACUUCUCCUUCUUCUCCCUCAGCGUUAGGCUCCAAGCGCUCCCACUCCCAAAAUCCUUGCAUAUACAGUUCUUCUAAAUUAUGCAACUUUGAUAACAGUUUGGAGGGAAUUCUAGAAAUAUGUUCACCAGUAAUAUCCAACAUCCUCAGAUUGGUCAAACCUCCUAUUUCUACCGACAACUCAUACAGACGUGAAUUUCUCAUACUCAGCAUCUCAAGCUUUUUAAGUUUUCCCAGUAUGGAAGUGUCAAUGCUUAGAUGGUCACAAUUAUCUAAAUACAAAGCUGUGAGGUUGGUUAGGAGACCUAAUGAUUUGGGCAGUAAUGAAAGGCUAGUAGUCCAGCUAAGAUCUAAUACCCUUAAUUCAUUUGGACAUUGGAAGAAUGUUUCUGGUAUAUGUUCUAAAAAGAUAUUAUGGUUUAGUAACAAAAUCUGGAGUUUUGGACAUACCAGAUUUUUGGGAAGCUCCCUGAUAUAAUUCCUCAUUAGUGAGAUUGCAAGGUAGCCUUUAUGUAAAUUACGUGGCCAAUCCUCUAAACGACAGCCGGCUUUCACAAAAAACUCAUCUUCAGAUAGCACAAUUUGAAUGGCUGCAUCCCGGACAACUUCAUGCAUCCUUACAAAUCCAUCUGUUUUACUAUCCAAA
rnacentral:lncRNA from 1 species